rnacentral:rRNA from 1 species
GGUAAUGGCUCACCAAGGCGACGACGGGUAGCCGCCUGAAAGGUGACCGGCCACACUGGGACUGAGACACGGCCCAGAUUCCUACGGGAGGCAGCAGUGGGGAAUAUUGCACAAUGGGCGAAAGCCUGAUGCAGCGACGCCGCGUGAGGGAUGACGGCCUUCGGGUUGUAAACCUCUUUCAGCAGGGAAGAAGCCACAAGUGACGGUACCUGCAGAAGAAGCGCCGGCUAACUACGUGCCAGCAGCCGCGGUAAUACGUAGGGCGCAAGCGUUGUCCGGAAUUAUUGGGCGUAAAGAGCUCGUAGGCGGUUUGUCGCGUCUGCUGUGAAAGCCCGGGGCUUAACCCCGGGUGUGCAGUGGGUACGGGCAGACUAGAGUGCAGUAGGGGAGACUGGAAUUCCUGGUGUAGCGGUGGAAUGCGCAGAUAUCAGGAGGAACACCGAUGGCGAAGGCAGGUCUCUGGGCUGUUACUGACGCUGAGGAGCGAAAGCAUGGGGAGCGAACAGGAUUAGAUACCCUGGUAGUCCAUGCCGUAAACGUUGGGCACUAGGUGUGGGGGACAUUCCACGUUUUCCGCGCCGUAGCUAACGCAUUAAGUGCCCCGCCUGGGGAGUACGGCCGCAAGGCUAAAACUCAAAGGAAUUGACGGGGGCCCGCACAAGCGGCGGAGCAUGCGGAUUAAUUCGAUGCAACGCGAAGAACCUUACCAAGGCUUGACAUAUACCGGAUCGUUCCAGAGAUGGUUCUUCCCCUUUGGGGUCGGUAUACAGGUGGUGCAUGGUUGUCGUCAGCUCGUGUCGUGAGAUGUUGGGUUAAGUCCCGCAACGAGCGCAACCCUCGUUCCAUGUUGCCAGCACGUGAUGGUGGGGACUCAUGGGAGACUGCCGGGGUCAACUCGGAGGAAGGUGGGGAUGACGUCAAAUCAUCAUGCCCCUUAUGUCUUGGGCUUCACGCAUGCUACAAUGGCCGGUACAAAGGGUUGCGAUACUGUGAGGUGGAGCUAAUCCCAAAAAGCCGGUCUCAGUUCGGAUUGAGGUCUGCAACUCGACCUCAUGAAGUCGGAGUCGCUAGUAAUCGCAGAUCAGCAACGCUGCGGUGAAUACGUUCCCGGGCCUUGUACACACCGCCCGUCAAGUCACGAAAGUCGGUAACACCCGAAGCCGGUGGCCCAACCCUUGUGGAGGGAGCCGUCGAAG